UUUGUUUUUUUUGUUUGUUUUUUUUUGUAAUCCAUGAUCGAAUUUUAUGUAAUCCAUGAUCGAAUUUUAUGUAAUCCAUGAUUGAAUUUUUUGAAAAUUUGUGAUUUUUUUUUUGUAAUCCAUGAUAGAAUUUUUGAAAAUUUGUGAUUUUUUUUUUAAUCCAUGAUCGAUUUUUUUGAAAAUUUGUUAUUUUUUUUUUUUAAUCCAUAUUAUUCAAAGAGAAAAUGAGAGAGAUGAUGAUUCUGAGGCCACCCUAUCCUAGCCAUAUUAUUCACAUAUCGAGUCCCAACAGCAACAGUGUAGGGAUGAGCACGAAAUACUAUAAAUUAAAUGCUGAAUGGCGGUUCAUGCAGGGAAAGAACAUAUCAAUAUUCGCAUAUUCAUUCAAAAACAUUAAAAUUCUUAAUGGAG
rnacentral:lncRNA from 1 species